AGAUGAGCUACAAUUGGAAUGUCUGC
rnacentral:sRNA from 1 species